rnacentral:rRNA from 1 species
GAUGAACGCUGACAGAAUGCUUAACACAUGCAAGUCAACUGUGGCGGACGGGUGAGUAACGCGUAAACAACUUGCCUCACGGAUAGGGACACCAUUUGGAAACGAAUGCUAAUACCUGAUACUGUGAGAGAGCUUUGCGUCCCAUUGGCUAGUUGGAGAGGUAACGGCUCACAAAGGCGAUGAUGGUUAGCCGGCCUGAGAGGGUGAUCGGCCACAAGGUGUCUGAGACACGGCCCUUACGCCUACGGGAGGCAGCAGUGGGGAAUAUUGGACAAUGGGCCAAAGUCUGAUCCAGCAAUUCUGUGUGCACGAUGAAGUUUUGGGAAGGUAAAGUGCUAUCAGUUUGGAAGCGGUACCAGCAGAAGAAGUGACGGCUAAAUACGUGCCAGCAGCCGCGGUAAUUC